UACGGUGAAUACGUUCCCGGACCUUGCACACACCGCCCGUCAAGCCAUGGAAGCCGGGUGUACCUAAGUCGGUAACCGUAAGGAGCCGCCAGGGUAAACUGGUGACUGGGGCU
rnacentral:rRNA from 1 species